rnacentral:rRNA from 1 species
CCUACGGGGCGCAGCAGUGGGGAAUAUUGCACAAUGGGGGAAACCCUGAUGCAGCGACGCCGCGUGAGCGAUGAAGUAUUUCGGUAUGUAAAGCUCUAUCAGCAGGGAAGAAGAUGACAGUACCUGACUAAGAAGCCCCGGCUAACUACGUGCCAGCAGCCGCGGUAAUACGUAUGGUGCAAGCGUUAUCCGGAUUUACUGGGUGUAAAGGGAGCGCAGGCGGCACGGCAAGCCUGAUGUGACAGCCCGCGGCCCAACCGCGGGACGGCAUUGGGAACUACCGGGCUGGAGUGCCGGAGAGGUAG